UACGUAGGGUGCGAGCGUUAAUCGGAAUUACUGGGCGUAAAGCGUGCGCAGGCGGCGCGUUAAGACAGGUGUGAAAGCCCCGAGCUUAACUUGGGAAUUGCGCUUGUGACUGGCGUGCUGGAGUGUGGCAGAGGGAGGUGGAAUUCCGCGUGUAGCAGUGAAAUGCGUAGAGAUGCGGAGGAACACCGAUGGCGAAGGCAGCCCCCUGGGCUAACACUGACGCUCAGGCACGAAAGCGUGGGGAGCAAACAGG
rnacentral:rRNA from 1 species